AGUGGUUGCACCGCCUGCUGCGCAAGCGCAAGGACCAGAGUUCAAUCCCUGGUACCAAAAAAAAGAAAAAGAAAAGAAAAAGAAUUGGAAAGUCUGCAUCUGAAAGAGGAAUUGAUGAAUUGGAUGGGAUGAUACUGUGAAGAUCACUCAUUUUCUACCCAGCAGUAAGUUCCCUCUACUCAACUCUUGCUACAAAAAUUCUUGACCUUUGUAAUGGAC
rnacentral:lncRNA from 1 species